AUGGCAGCCGGAGGCGAGGGGACCAAAAUUUCUCAGAUAGAUGGUGGCGACGACAACGGCAAUGACAGUCCGGCAAACUUUGGCGUGGGCAAGGCGGCCACCGCCGGCGACAUCCGGAAGGCCUACCACAAGCGCGCGCUCAAGUGGCACCCGGACAAGAACCCCGACCACCACAAGAAUGAGGCAGAGAGGAGGUUCAAGCAACUGUGCGAGGCCUACGAGGCUCUCAAGGACCCGCUGAAGCGCGCGGUGUAUGACAGGCUCUCCGCCGAGGAGGGGCUCAAGGCGAAGGCGCCACCGACGCCGGCUGCCGCUGGCAGUGCUGGCGCGAGGGUGCCGCGCGCUGCAGGCCAGGGACGCGCGUCUAAGGCCACGGGCGGUGCCGACACCGGUGGAGCGAAACGAGCAGGUGGUGCAGGCAUGGGUGCGCGCUCCGGCGGUGCCCGCAGCGGUGGGGAGAAGCGAGCGAGCGGUGCAAGCCCCGGAGCCGCGAAGCCGAGCCGCACUAGCGAUGGUGGCUCUAGAGAUGUACCGGGCGCGGGCUGGGGAGGCCCGACGUGGACGCGAGGUGCUGGUGCCGGCGGCGCGAAGAGCUCGAGCGGUGCGCGCUCCGGGUGCACCGGAGACUCCCACUUUGGGGGCAAAGGAGGCACGACAUUCUUCCAUCCUACCGGUGCCACCUGGGCGACGAGCACCGGCGAUCUGGAAGAAAACGAGGAAUGUGGUGCGUCCAUGAAUCGGGAUUACUGCUAUGGGAGCGGGCACAUCAACGAAGACUACUACGAUUGGUUUGAUGAUGAUGACGAUGGGGCUGAAUAUGAAAUCUGGGAGAUUUAUUUAGGAUGCAGUGGGUCAGCGUUUGUCCUCUCUUCGGGGCACGACGGCAAUGGCCUGAGCAGGGCUGGUUCGGUGCAUGUCAAGUGGAUGGCGACUGGCAAAUCCAGUGCUCUUCUGGGACUUGAUCGGGUGAAGACGAUGGAUCUGGAGUCCGACAGGCACGGGGACGCUCCCGGCCGACGAGCCACAUCGAAGAAGGUUCUGCCGUUCACGACGGGCGAAUUCAUCGGCUCACAAAGCGGCUUUGUCCGCGAUGGUGCUUCUUCGGACCAGGGUAUAAAGGCUGAGGUUUGGUUAGGACACUGGGGGUUAUGUGCUCUGACUGGUGGGGUCCACCUAGGGCCACGUAGUCAAGAGUCAACCGUCCACGACUCGACCGGUGACUGUGUGACCGUGCUCGACUCGCCCGUGCUGGACUGGGCGAGCGGCGCUGCCAAUCUCGAUUGGAUAGGAGCGCGGGGGCUGAAUGAGAUGGAGCGAGGAGACAGUGCUUCAAAUCGGGGAGGUUCAGGUUCUGCCACCACAUUCGCAAUUAUAGUGGAAUUUUUCCCCUGUAAAUCCAAGCUCAGUGAUGGCAGUGUCCAAGACAUUGAUAGAGAUACCACCGUGAGGUUGGAUGUCGAAUUUGCAGAUGUUGAUCCCCAGGAAUUGGAGAGCAUGAAGGAGAAGGCCGUGGGCAAUUUGGUGGAGAGAAUUGGGGAGAGUAUUGUUUCGGUCCAGAACAAGAGAGUUGGUUAUGUGCCAUCAAAGAUGGCUGCACAGGUGGAAGAUGAUGAGUGGGUUUCACAAAAGAAGAUGUUGGCAUUGUUGACUGAACCGACUGUAGUAGCUGAACAUAUAGGGAUUGAUGCAGAUGGAGAGGAGGGAACCCAUGGUGCUAGGAAGAGGAGGGAACCGACUGUUGUUGACUGGAAUGUAGUAGAGUUGAAUGAAAAAACAGAUUUGGUCAUUACACCAAUAUCUGACAUUGAUAUGGCCGAAAUGUUUGGCAUUCAAGUUGAUGACAAAGAUAAGGAUAAGGAUGACAGUUCUUUGCAUGCUGAUGAGAACCCAGUUAUUGAGGUGGGAAAGUUGUGGCCAAGCAUGAAGGAGUUUAGGAUGUCUUUCAGGACCUAUGCAGUGAAAAAAGAGUUUGAUGCCAAGACUAUGUGGACUGAUCGAAAGAAAUUUUAUGCUCGGUGCAAAGGUUAUGAUGGUGGUGGCAAUCCUUGCAAAUGGAGGAAGCGUGCAGAAAAAGGCCCACCUCUUGUUGUUGAACAAUGCUGGCCAGUGAAAAAAGCAAGACUCAAUGGCUUUAGAAGGAAGAGCACUAAGCAGAUAAUGUUUGGUGACAAAGAUAUGGAGCAAACUGAAAUUGUUACUGCUGAACAUGAGCUAAGUGUUUCUGUUUUGAACGAUGUGAUGCAUACUGAAUCUGUUUUGCAGGCGCUAGGGCAAUCUGAAACUGUUGCAGAUGAAGCAACUGUUGUGCUGCCAUGCGAAUCUGCUUUGACAGCUGUGUUGCCAUGUUUGGAGGUUGUGCUGCCAAGUGUUGAGUUGCAAACUGAAGUAGUUGAACAAUGUGUGCCAUCUACUCAAUCUGCAGAAGUGCAAACUGAAGAAGUGGGACAUGGUCAGGUGCAAAAGUUGAGGGGGCCUAGUGGAGUUGGCAAGAAAACCAAGGGGCCAAAAAGCAAGAGCAUCAACAUCAACAAACUAUGCGCCGUGGAACCAAACGGUGGAAAAAAGGAGAAGAAAUCGAGUGGCAUCGUGUACAUUGACUAUGGCUGCAACGCGGCUAUAAAAGGGCACCAUUUCCUCAUCCCUCUCACACUCAUCUCUCAAGCCUCCUCCGCUUCUUCUUUUCGAGACAAAUCCACCACUCGAGCCACCAUGCAGUUCUACGGCCCUACCUACCGUCGCCCUCGCACCGUGCCGAAGAGGGAGUACCCGGCCGGAGUCAUCGUCGAGAAUAGCCUGAGGGUGUGGGCCAUCUCAAGGUGGAGGGGCCCUAGAGAGUUGACUCGCUUCUUCCUCCAAGCCGGCUACCGCCACCUCCCUCCGGGCACUCCGCCCAUGUUCCACCUCCACGAGCAGUACGAUGGCGACGCCAACGGCAUCGUCAUCGGCCUCUACAUCACCUUCACCAACCCCUAUGACGCUCACCACCUCCUCGGCCAGGUGUUCUGGUGUGGAUGCGAGUUUAUCGCGUUCAUCACCUACAACAUCUUCACAAACUUCCACCACAUCUUCCCCCACCCCAACGGCAUGCACACCCUCCCCUACCAGAUGCCGGAGAACGACGAGUGA
rnacentral:rRNA from 1 species